UACGGAGGGGGCUAGCGUUGUUCGGAAUUACUGGGUGUAAAGGGUGCGUAGGCGGUCAGUCAAGUCUGAUGUGAAAUCCCUCGGCUCAACUGAGGAAUGGCAUUGGAAACUGGCUGGCUAGAGUACCGGAGAGGGAAGCGGAAUUCCUGGUGUAGCGGUGAAAUGCGUAGAUACCAGGAGGAACACCGGUGGCGAAGGCGGCUUCCUGGCCGAGUACUGACGCUGAGGAGCGAAAGUGUGGGGAGCGAACAGG
rnacentral:rRNA from 1 species